rnacentral:lncRNA from 10 species
CGGGCAACAGAGUGAGACUCUGUCUCAAAAAAUAAAAAUAAAAAUAAAUAAAAAUUACCCGGGCAUGGUGGCAUGUGCAUGUAAUCCCAGAUAAUCAGGAGGCUGAGGCGGGAGGAUCACUUGAGCUUGGGAGGUUGAGGCUGCAGUGAGUCAUGAUCACACCACUGCACUCCAGCCUGGACAACAGAGCAAGACUCUAUCUAAAAAAAAGAAGAGAGAGAGAAUUUCAAGAUGACAACAGCAGACCUGUAAACCAAGUGGGGGCCCUUCCAAACAAGGGGCUCUGUGGAAUUGCCUAGAUGGUACUCCCAUGAAGCCACCCUGGUUCUACCCUAGCUUACCAAGAGCUUUCACAAAAACCAGCAUAGAAAGUUUUCUGAUAACCUUCAGGCAGUCAGAAAGCUCCUUUCUCUAGAACUUUCCAUUCCAUGCCAGCUGUUUUCACAUGUUGGUGUUUGUAAGGCCUUAGAGCAACAGGGGCUCCCCUCUCCCAAGGAGCAAUAACAUCAACAACAGCAAUAGCAGCUGCCAUUAUUGGACAAUUAGCACAUGCCGGCAUGGUGUUGAGUUCUGCACACUUUUGACUCCUCGACUCUGCUCACCAAUGCUAUUAAGUAAAUGCUGUCAUAGGCAGGCUCUGAAAGUGGAAACGGAGGUACAAAGUAGGCCACUCACCCCAGGUUGCAGAGCCAGAAAGAAGAAGAACUGGGAUUCACACCCAACCCUGCAGGGCUCCAGAGUCCACACGCUGGCCCAGGAAGGAAGGCAAAGGCCGGCGGGAGGUGGACGGAGGGUGGCAGAGCCACCCUAGGCCAGGGAGGGAAGGCUCCAGGGAUGGGAGCCACCCUUUGCUCCACUGACUCCCCUCCCGACUUGGAGCUGUGAGCUCUGAGCUGCAAUGGUCUUUGCCAAGCAGUCAUUUCGCCAUCCCCUGCCAGACCCUAGGGACCUCUGGGAGCACAGCAGAGCUGUCCAGCCCGGAGAGUCCAGGCCAGAGCACUGGGUAAGGAGCACACUCUGGGGUUCCUCAGACCCAGGUUCAAAUCCUGCCUCUGCCACCCACCAGCUGUGUGACCUCAGACAAGGUACACUCCCCCUCUGAGCUCCUGGGUCUUUUUUGGCUUUUCUUUUUGAACCUCAGGUGUGCAGGGUGACGUUAUCUGAUGCCUCAAUUCGCAACAUGUUAUCAUGAUUGCCCACACAGGCUGCCCUCUAGUUGUAUUCAUUUAUUCCCUUUCACCCCAAUCCCUACUCCCUGCCCACCUGACUCUCCUAUGUUCAAUGUGCAGCAUGAGUUCAUUGAUUUUAGGUUUCUACUUUGAUGCUGGCGUUUAACAUAUGUACAGUAAAGCGCAUAAACAGACAGCUCAAUGAACUCUUCUUUGUUGUUGUUGUUGUUGUUGUUGUUGUUGAGACAGGGUCUUGCUCUGUCACUCAGGCUGGAGUGCAGUGCCACAACCAUGGCUCACUACAGCCUUGACUUCCUGGGUUCAAGCGAUCCUCCCACCUCAGCCUCCUGAGUAACUGGGACUACAGGUGUAUACCACCAUAUCUAGCUAAUAUUAUUUAUUUUUUGUAGAGACUGUGUCUCCCUACAUUGCCCAGGCUGGUCUGGAACUCCUGGGCUCAAGUGAUCCUCCCACCUCGGCCUCCCAAAGUGCUGGGGUUACAGGUGUGAGCCACUAUGCCUGGCCUGAAUUCUUAUAUAUGGAUAAAUUCAUGGAACUACCACCUGGGGUAAAACAUAGGAAUUUUGCAGAUCCCAGAAGUCUUCCUCAUGUCCCACUGCAGGCAAUGACUCCUCUACCCCACAGAAGGAACCACUUUUGUGCCUUCUAGAUUCAUCUUACCUGUUCUUGAACUUCAUAUCAGAGGAAUCACACAGAAAGUCGUCUUUUGUGUCUGGCUUCUUUCCCUCAGCAUAAUGCUUUUAACAUUAAUCUAUAGUGUGCAUGGGCUGGGCAUGGUGGCUCAUGCCUGGAGGGUUUGGGGAUAAAGUGAUGUCAUGUCUACAGCUGCCUCUCAAAUAAUUCAGGCAAAAGAAAAAAAUACAAAUGGGGGAAAAGACAAAGUGGGGAAAAAUAUAAACAAUAUAGCUGAAGGAUAUCCUGAAGUUUCUUUUCUUUUUUUGGGACAGAGUCUUGCUCUGUCACCCAGGCUGGAGUGCAGUGGCGUGAUCUCGGCUCAUGCGACCUCCGCCUCCUGGGUUCAACCCAUUCUCCUGCCUCAGCCUCCCAAGUAGCUGGGAUUACAGGUGCGUGCCUCCACACCCAGCUAAUUUUUGUAUUUUUAGUAGAGACGGGGUUUUGCCAUGUUGGCCAGUCUGGUCUCAAACUCCUGACCUCCAGUGAUCCACCUGCCUUGGCCUCUCAAAGUGCUGGGAUUACAGGCGUGAGCCACCAACCCUGGCCCAGCUGCUACUUUCUACCAGGGCCCAACAGGCGGGAAAGAAAAGGCAGAUUCAGACCCUUCAGCAUCACCCAGGACUUGAGGAAGGGAGUCCACAUUGCACAAAUGGGGUUUUGCCGCCUAAGACUUGUUUUUUUCUGCGUUUACAAGGGUUCAAAUCAGUGCCGUUGGAGAGUGUUUGAGGCUGUCACAACAUCUGGGGAACUGAGGCGUGGGGCAUUCACAUGGCUGUCAGGAGGAGGCCUUGGGCUCAAAUUGUAGGGGGCGUGGGAUCUUAAACCAUCAUUGGCAGCCAGACUGAUGGGCAGGGUAGUGACACACUAAGAUCCUGUCAUCUUUGCUAGGCUCUGGUUUUAUGGGAUCUAAGGUUUUCCGUGGUUCUAGUUCCAGGUGGAGAGUGACAACUAACUCUGGCAUGUUGCACAUUCUCAGUAAAUGAAUUGUGGAGUAAAUUCCUUGUGAUGAUAAUUGAUAUUUAUUGAGCAUUUACUAUAUGCCAGGCAGUAUUCUAAGCACUUUGCACCUAUCAUCUCCAUUAAUCCUCUCCACAUCUUGUGAGAUAGGUACUAUUAUUACCAUCAUUAUUUUGUAAACAGGAAACUGAGGAACCGAGAAGUUAAGCCACAUGCCCAAAGUCACAAGUUGUUAAGAGGAAUAUAAAUGAAUGAAUGAAUGAAUGAAUGGCAGUCCCUAUCUAGAUUAGCAUUUUUCUUUUAAACAUUACUGAAGCGAAAGUCCAGUUGCAACUCUUCUUGGGGAAUAACAAUCCAGCCCAAGCUCCCUGACUCCCUGUUCUCUCCAAGUCAGCCUCUCUCCUUCUCAUUGCUUAAGGGGAAGUGUCCCCCAUCCUGAGCCUGAGGUAGCUCGAGCUCCAGCCUUAGAAACACAAAGACCUGGGGCCCUAAUGUGAUGGGGACCCUAUCAUGUCCCAAGAUCGCACGCAUGUAGCUUCCUUUAGUUGUAUAUAGGCUCUUUUGGCCUGAAACAGUUCCUUUCUCAGUCUCUCCUUGACCCACAUGACCUUGACAUGUUCGAGGAUGCAGGCCAGCUAUUUUUUUUUUUUUUUUUUUUUUUGAGACGGAAUCUCGCUCUGUUGCCAGGCUGGAGUGCUGUGGUGCAAUCUAGGCUCAGCUCACUGCAACCUCCGCCUCCCGGGUUCAAGCAAUUCUCCUGCCUCAGCCUCCCAAGUAGCUGGGACUAUAGGUGCAGGCCACCAUGCCUGGCUAAUUUUUGUAUUUUUAGUAGAGAUGGUUUCACCAUGUUGGCCAGGUCUCUAUCUCUUAUCCUUGUGAUCCACCCACCUUGGCCUCCCAAAGUGCUCCUCACUUCAGAUCUCUCGGAUGUUUCCCGUGAUUAGAUUCGGUCUCCGUGUCUGAUAUAUAUUUGCAGGGAUACAGCAGAAGUGAUGCUGUGUUCCUGAUAUAUGGUCUGUCAUGUACUGAGGGCUUACUUUUCACCAAGACCCACAAUGCACAAAAGUCAAGGAUGUGACAAGACCUAUUGCAUAGAUGAGGAAACUGAGGCUCAGGAAGAAGAGGUCACUAACUCCAGGUCAAACAUCUAAGUGACAAAGCUGAGAUUUAGACUCACAUCCAUCCAACUCAUGAGCCCUAUAGGGAGAUCACGAAGGAACGAGGGACGAUGAGGAGGAACGGCCCGGCAUAGGGCAGGGGGCCUUAGAGAGUCAGCCUCAGUUCAUUCCAUGAUCACAAUCUCACUACCUCAAAAAUGCAGAUCUCUGAUCCUUGUGGGGUGGCUGAGACCAGGGAUAUCUGGCCCUAUUAGUGACAUUAAGACUCUGCAAUCCCGCUCCUGGGUAAAUACACCAGAGGCACUCUGAGAAGACCAUUAGGGGGCUGAUAAACACAAAGAUGUACCACCUAGGUCUCCUUCAGGGGAGAACCAGCUGCAGGGAGUAUGAUGAGGUGAUGAACUCCAGCCACCAACAGCUGUCCCAGCUGCAGAGAGCCAUCUCGCCCCAGCCAUCCUUCCCAGGGCAGCCCGAAAGCCAGACAGACCAAGGCAGGGUGUAAAGGUCUGGCCAUUUUGCCCAACACAGGGCACCCAACAAGCAAGUUCCUCUCCGGUGCUCCCAAGACUGCUCAGGGCUCUGCAGGCCUGCAUCGCUGCUGGAUGACUUCAUCUGCCCAGUCCUUCUUGCACCCCCUCCAUUUCUCAGGUGUUGACCCCCACAAACAUCUUGCACUCCAAACUCCAUUUCAGUAUCCACACAACCUGCCCUGUGACAGAGGUACAUUCAACAAUGCUUGUCAGAACAGUGUUUAUGGCUGUGGGGACUUAGAGGCAAAAUCAUUGUCCACCACAAGGGCAGUGGUUCCUUAAAAUGUGGCAGAUACAUACAGAGGAAUGUUAUGCAUCAGCAUAAAAAGUAAUGAAUCAGAGGGACACAGAGCAACCUGGAGGCAUCUCUCAAGCCUAUUCUUCCAGGAAUAUAUGCUGCACUCAUGUAAAAUGUGACCUAUUGGAUAGAAUUGUCUGUUGCAGCAUUGUGUGAAAUAGAAAAAGACUGGAAACAAUCUAAAUGUCCAUCAGAAAGAGACUGGUUAAAUAAUUAUGGUACAUCCAUCCAAUGGAAUAUUAUACAACCAUUAAAAGGAAUGUGGCAGCUCUAUAGUACUGAUAUGAACAAGCUCCAAGAUACAUUGUUGAGUGAGAAAAGCAAAGCACAGGUCAGUGUAAAAAAUGUGCUACAGUGUGCAUAAAUAUCGUGUGUGUGUGUGUGUGUGUUUGGGUGCACUCACAUAGACCAUUUGAAAUAAGAAAAAGCUGCUGGAAACUUCAGUAACCUCUGGGAGAGGGAUCUGGGAAUGUGGGGGCAGGAGUGGGAGGGAGACAGACUUUUCAUUGCAAAUCCAUUCACACCUUUUGAAUUUUGAACAAUGAGCACAUAUUAUGUAUUCAAAUUGAAAGGAAAAAUGUAUAGAGGCCAUGGUGAAGUUGAUCUGAGGCCAUCCAUAAGAAGGGUGGCAUAGUGUGGGGCCAGAGACUGAACAGGGUAAGGAGGGUGACCAAUCAUGGAACAGAGGUGGGGGGACAGUGACAGCAAACUGGUUACAUAUAGGGGAUGGGUCAAAUAAACAAAUAUAUUAAGAAUAAUGGAAGCCUAUUUUCUCACUGAUGGAAAAGAGAGUUUCAAAUAUGGAAAGAGAAAAUUAGAAUAAACUCUGUGAUGCUGAAUGGGAACUGCAGUUAUCAGUGUACACUCAUUUUUCUAAAUAGAUGAUAGAUGAUAGACAGAUAAUAGUUAGAUACAGAAAUAACACAGCUGUAAAUAUGUGUCUCUAUAUAUACAUAUAUACAGUCCUUAACUCUGUCCACUGAGAGAGUCAGGCAGUGGAGACACCCCAACAGCAAUGAGCACUUUGUCCUGAGAUUUUGGCUUCUAAAUUCCAUUCUCUACUAAAAGGAACCAGGGCUCCUGGGAGAAGUGGCUGAUUCCAGAGCUGGGGGCAGAAAAAAUACCAGAUGAGCUUAUAGUACCUCACUGUGCCAGAAAGUAAGAAAAUGCUCAAAGAAUGAUGGUGACACAGAAGCUAGUUAAAAGUGGCUCCCAGGAGCCAAAUCUGGGACAAUUUAAGCAUAUAAAUAAGUUAACAAUGAUGAUGAUAUACCACAACCCACUGAAUAAAAUAGAAAACUAUGAAUCUAUACUGACAGAAAUAAAUGAAUAAUUGAAAGUCUGAUGACAUUCAAGAAAUUCACACAGUUUCAGCGUGCCUCCUCUCAAAUGCUGAUUAACUACAAAGAGCGGGGAAAGUAACCCUACAGAUGCGAAGUCUGGCAGCUAUCUCCUCAAUCAAGUCAUCAAAGAGUGCACCAUCAGCAAUGGGACGAGGAGAAGAACAUAACAUCGCUUCUUUGAUUUUUCUGCCAGAGCUGCAGAACCUGAAUCUCACCACAAUGAAGCAUCAGACAAACCCACAGGGAAAGACAUGCUGUAAUGCUGUACAACAGCUGCCCUGUAUCCUCAAAAGUGUCAAGGUCAUGAAGGUCAAGGAAAGACUAAGGAACUGUUCUACCUUCAAGGCAACUAGAGAGAUGUGGAACUAAACAAAACAUGUGGCCGGGCGCGGUGGCUCAUGCCUGUAAUCCCAACACUCUGGGAGGCCAGGGUGGGAGAAUUGCUUGAGCCCAGGAGUUCCAGACCAGCCUGGGCAACAUAGUGAAACCCUGUGUCUACAAAAAAUACAAAAAUUUGCCAGGCAGGGUGGCACAUGCCUGUAGUUCUAGCUACUCAGGAGGCUGAAGUGGGAGGAUCGCUUGAGCCCAGGUAGUUGGGGCUGCAGUGAGCUAUGAUCACACCACUGUACUCCAGCCUGGGUGACAGAGUGAGACCCUGUCUCAAAAUAAAAUAAAAUUAAAAAUAAACACAAAGUAUGAUCCCAAACUGGAUUCCCUUACUGGAUGUUAUCAGGGCAACUGGUGAAACCUGAAUGGGUCUUGGUAGACAGUCAUGGUGUAUCCUGUUAAUUUCCUGAUUAUGAUGGUUAUAUUGUAGCUAUCUAGGAAAAUGCCCUGGUUUGUAGAAACUAUGUAUCAAAACAUUAAGGGGUGAUAGGGCAACAGGUCAGCAAUUUAUUCUCAAAUAAUUCAAGAGAACCAAUUUGAGACGUUUCUCAAACUAAAAAGUUUUUUAAAAAUACACAGUAAAAAAGUAAAAAACAGAAUGAGAGCUAAGUUUCAAUACCAUUAACAGGAAUUAAAACAUAUAUUUUUAGAUUUCUGAUGGCUUAGCAAGCCACUUCUAAGUGAAAUAUGUGAAUAUGUUCAUCAAAAGACAUGUCCCCUCGCUGGGUGCGGUGGCUCACGCCUGUAAUCCCAGCAGUUUGAAAGGCCAAGGCGAGUGGAUCACCUGAAGUCAGGAGUUCGAGACCAGCCUGGCAAACAUGGUGGAAGCCCAUCUCUACUAAAAUUACAAAAAAUUAGCCAGGUGUGGUGGUGGGCACCUGUAAUCCCAGCUACUCGGGAGGCUGAGCACGAGAAUCACUUGAACCUGGGAGACAGAGGCUGCAGUGAGCCAAUAUUGCACCACUGCACUCCAGCCUGGGAGACAGCACAAGUCUGUCUCAAGAAAAAAAAAAAAAAAAAAAAAAGACAUGAUCCCUCAAAUAUUCAUCUCAGCCCAAUUCUAAAGAGCUCAAAACUGGUAACAACCUGAAUGUCCAUGAGGGAUCGAAUGGGUAAAUCCAUUGUGGUGUGUCCAUGUAAUGUCAUUUUGCUCAGUAAUAAAAAGGCAUAAAUACUGAUACACACAACAACUUGAAUGAAUGUUAGUUACAAUACUUAAUAAAAGAAGCCAGACAUAAACAGCAUCUAUUGUGUGAUUUCAUUUCUAUAAAAGCAUAGAAACAGGCAAAAUUAAUGUUUGCUGUUAGAAAUCAGAAUAAUGAUUACCCUUAGGUGUGGAAGAGGGGUGGCUAGAAGGGACACAAAAGGCUUCAGGGGUGCUGGAAUGAUCUCUUCUUGAUCUGGACACUGGUGGGUCAACACCAGGAAAAUUCACAGAGCUGUAUAUCUGUGUUAUGUGCACAUUGCUGUGUGUGUAUAUUUCACUAAGAAAGAAAGAGAAAAAAAUGUGAUGCACGGGAAAAUAGACUAAAGCGCAAUGCAGGCUUUGCAAGGACUGAUGACAAUCGUGUCCUAAGAACUGGAAAGCAUAAUUAGCUCUGCAUCUGACCUGCAAGAAUAAAAGCAGGAAAGGGUCCCUGUUGUCCCUUUGUCCCUCACCACCCCACAAGAGGGUCAGCCAGGCGAGCUUGAUGACUGGUGCCAUGUGGCAUGAGAGGACUGAGGCCUGGCUGGAGUCAGGUGCCCCAGGCUGCCCUGACCCCCACCCCAGUUCUCUCUCCUCCACAGCCUGCUGACUCCCACCCACCAGCCUCUCUGAGGAGUCUUCCUCCUCCUUGGCCACCCCUGUCCCUGCCAGGGCUCCAGGGCUAGGGCUACAAAAUGCGGAGCUCACUGAGGUCAGCAGAGAAAUUUCUGUCCAUUUCAAGGGCUUGGUUCAAGCCUGGGCUGAGGCACACUGAAAUUUCAGAGUCAUGAGAGAGAGACACUUGAGGACAGGCAGGAUAUUUUCAUGACAGGAGGUCUUUGUGCAUUACUUCUGUAAUUAAAAUGAAUAAAAAGAAAUCCUUCCACCACAUCUGAUGGAAAUUCUUUUUCCUAAGCAAAGCGUGCAUUUCUGUGCUCAUGUGCAAUAGUGUCCGUAACAAGGAAGCACUGGUGCAUGAUGAAAAAAUGCAGGUCGUGAAAGAGCUCACACAGGUUGAUUCCGUUCUGGCAAAUAUAUCAGUUAGAAAUAGACUCAGCUGCCAGUAACAGGAAGCCCAAACGACAGAGACCUCAGUAAGCAGAGAUUUCUUUCUCUCAUGUAAACAAGCCCAGAGCAAAGCAGGUAAAGACUGGUGCGGCUGUUCUACCACCAUCAAGAACCCCAGUGCCUUUUGUCUUUCGGAUUCACCAUCCUCAGCAUGUGGCUUCCAUGCUUCAGAGUUUGCCUCAUGAUUCAGGAUGGCCCCUGGAGCUCUGGCCAUCACAUCUGAGUUCCAGGCAGGAAGUAGAAAGAAGCAGGGGCUGGGAGGUGGCAGAGAAGGAACACAAAAGGGAAUGUGCCUCACAGCCGAGUCAACCCCCUUUAAAGAGCUUUCCCAGAAGUCCCACCUACAGCUUCUAUUUAAUCUCACUGGUCAUCCCUAGCUGCAAGAGAAGCUGGAAACUGUAGUCUCUUAGUAGGGUACUUGCCCCCCCAAAAUAGAAGGAUCUCAUUGGUAAGAAAGAGGGAGAGGAAUGAGUAUUGGAUCGGCCACUUUAGCCACAAUGAGGAAAAAUACACAUGGAAUGAAAAUUCUGGAAGUUAACAACUUACCCUGUGUGAGUUAACCUGUCAAAUCUUUGCAAAACACUGUGAGGAAUUUUAUGAUCUUCUUAUUACAGAUGGGGGAACUGAGGUCCAGCAAGAUGCAUUCACUUGCCUCAAACUACAGAGCUAGAAAAUGGUGGAUUUGGGCCAGGCGCGGUGGCUCAC